UACGGGAGGCAGCAGUGGGGAAUAUUGGACAAUGGGCGCAAGCCUGAUCCAGCCAUGCCGCGUGAGUGAUGAAGGCCUUAGGGUUGUAAAGCUCUUUUAUCCGGGACGAUAAUGACGGUACCGGAGGAAUAAGCCCCGGCUAACUUCGUGCCAGCAGCCGCGGUAAUACGAAGGGGCUAGCGUUGCUCGGAAUCACUGGGCGUAAAGGGCGCGUAGGCGGCGUUUUUAAGUCGGGGUGAAAGCCUGUGGCUCAACCACAGAAUGGCCUUCGAUACUGGGACGCUUGAGUAUGGUAGAGGUUGGUGGAACUGCGAGUGUAGAGGUGAAAUUCGUAGAUAUUCGCAAGAACACCGGUGCGAGGCGGCAACUGGCCAUACUGACGCUGAGGCGCGAAAGCGUGGGGAGCAAACAGGGAUUAGAUACC
rnacentral:rRNA from 1 species